rnacentral:rRNA from 1 species
CCCGCACAAGCAGCGGAGCGUGUGGUUUAAUUCGAUGCUACACGAAGAACCUUACCAGGGUUUGACAUACAAGUAGUAGGGAAAGGAAACUGGACCGACCCUUCGGGAGCUUGUACAGGUGCUGCAUGGCUGUCGUCAGCUCGUGUCGUGAGAUGUUCGGUUAAGUCCGCUAACGAGCGCAACCCUCGCUGUGUGUUACAAGUGUCACACGGGACUGCCGGUUUUAAGCCGGAGGAAGGUGGGAUGACGUCAAGUCAGCAUGGCCUUUAUAUCCUGGGCUACACACACGCUACAAUGGUCGGUACAAUAGGUUGCCAAGCCGCGAGGCGGAGCCAAUCCAAAAAAGCCGGCCUCAGUUCAGAUUGUAGGCUGCAACUCGCCUGCAUGAAGAUGGAGUUGCUAGUAACCGCAGGUCAGCAAUACUGCGGUGAAUACGUUCCCGGGUCUU